UGAGUUUGAUCAUGGCUCAGAUUGAACGCUGGAGGCGUGCUUAACACAUGCAAGUCGUGCGAGGAAAGGGACUUCGGUCCUGGAGUAGAGCGGCGCACGGGUGAGUAACGCGUGGGUAAUCUCCCUUGGUGAUCGGGAUAACAGCGGGAAACUGCUGCUAAUACCGGAUAAUCUUCAUGUUUAACUUCAUGGGGUAAAGGUGGCCUCUGCUUGCAAGCUACCACAUCAAGAUGAGCCCGCGUCUCAUUAGCUAGUUGGUAGGGUAAUGGCCUACCAAGGCUACGAUGAGUAGCUGGUCUGAGAGGAUGACCAGCCACACUGGGACUGGAACUCGGACCAGACUCCUACGGGAGGCAGCAGUGAGGAAUAUUGCGCAAUGGGGGCAACCCUGACGCAGCGACGCCGCGUGGACGAUGAAGGCCCUUGGGUCGUAAAAUCCUGUCAGAUGGAAAGAAAUGUACAGGUGUUAAUAUCGCCUGUAUUUGACGGUACCAUCAAAGGAAGCACCGGCUAACUCCGUGCCAGCAGCCGCGGUAAUGCGGAGGGUGCGAGCGUUGUUCGGAAUUACUGGGCGUAAAGCGCGCGUAGGCGGUUUGCUAAGUCAGAUGUGAAAGCCCUCGGCUUACCCGGGGACGUGCAUUUGAAA
rnacentral:rRNA from 1 species